AAUGAACGCUGGCGGCAUGCCUAACACAUGCAAGUCGAACGAGACCUUCGGGUCUAGUGGCACACGGGUGCGUAACGCGUGGGAAGUCUGCCCUUGGGUUCGGGAAUAACAGUUAGAAAUGACUGCUAAUACCGAAUGAUGUCGUAAGACCAAAGAUUUAUCGCCCAGGAUGAGCCCGCGUAAGAUUAGGUAGUUGGUGUGGUAAAGGCGCACCAAGCCGACGAUCUUUAGCUGGUCUGAGAGGAUGAUCAGCCACACUGGGACUGAGACACGGCCCAGACUCCUACGGGAGGGCAGCAGUGGGGAAGUAUUGGACAAU
rnacentral:rRNA from 1 species